rnacentral:lncRNA from 1 species
UUAUAUCUAUUGAUCUAAGCUCCCUUUCAAUUUUUAUAAAUUUCAGAUUUUAAGUUUUGGAUUUAUGGGGCGUUAUUCAUAAAAAAAGGGGAUUUUUAACACUUCGGACAAUAACUCAAAAAGGCUUUCACCAAUGUCCAUGAAACUUUGGUGAAUUGUUUAUAUCUAUUGAUGUAAGCUCCCUUUCAAUUUUUAUAAAUUUCAGAUUUUAAGUUUUGGAUUUAUGGGGCUUUAUUCAUAAAAAAAAGGGGGAUUUUCAACACUUCGGACAAUAACUCAAAAAGGCUUUUACCAAUGUCCAUGAAACUUUGGUGAAUUGUUUAUAUCUAUUGAUGUAAGCUCCCUUUCAAUUUUUAUAAAUUUCAGAUUUUACAUUUCCGUGUUAUGAAUUUUUAUGCUUAAAAAAGGGGGGAUUUUCCAAU